UGCGUCCCAGAGCUCCACAAUAAAAAGAACUCACAGCAAUGUGCAUGAGUGCGUCCCAGAGCUCCACAAUAAAAAGAACUCACAGCAAUGUGCAUGAGUGCGUCCCAGAGCUCCACAAUAAGAAUAAAUCACAGCAAUGUGCAUGAGUGCGUCCCAGAGCUCCACAAUAAGAAUAACUCACAGCAAUGUGCAUGAGUGCGUCCCAGAGCUCCACAAUAAGAAUAACUCACAGCAAUGUGCAUGAGUACG